UGGAAUUCCACGUGUAGCGGUGAAAUGCGUAGAGAUGUGGAGGAACACCAGUGGCGAAGGCGACUCUCUGGUCUGUAACUGACGCUGAGGCGCGAAAGCGUGGGGAGCGAACAGGAUUAGAUACCCUGGUAGUCCACGCCGUAAACGAUGAGUGCUAAGUGUUAGAGGGUUUCCGCCCUUUAGUGCUGCAGCUAACGCAUUAAGCACUCCGCCUGGGGAGUACGGUCGCAAGACUGAAACUCAAAGGAAUUGACGGGGGCCCGCACAAGCGGUGGAGCAUGUGGUUUAAUUCGAAGCAACGCGAAGAACCUUACCAGGUCUUGACAUCCUUUGCCACUUCUAGAGAUAGAAGGUUCCCCUUCGGGGGACAAAGUGACAGGUGGUGCAUGGUUGUCGUCAGCUCGUGUCGUGAGAUGUUGGGUUAAGUCCCGCAACGAGCGCAACCCUUGAUCUUAGUUGCCAGCAUUCAGUUGGGCACUCUAAGGUGACUGCCGGUGACAAACCGGAGGAAGGUGGGGAUGACGUCAAAUCAUCAUGCCCCUUAUGACCUGGGCUACACACGUGCUACAAUGGAUGGUACAAAGGGCUGCGAGACCGCGAGGUUUAGCCAAUCCCAUAAAACCAUUCUCAGUUCGGAUUGCAGGCUGCAACUCGCCUGCAUGAAGCUGGAAUCGCUAGUAAUCGCGGAUCAGCAUGCCGCGGUGAAUACGUUCCCGGGGCCUUGUACACACCGUCCGUACACCACGAGAGUUUGCACACCCGAAGUCGGUGGGGUAACCGCAAGGAGCCAUCCGCCUAGGUGGGGUAUAUGAUGGGG
rnacentral:rRNA from 2 species